rnacentral:lncRNA from 10 species
UCCAUCUCAAAAAAUAAAUAAAUAAAAUAAAAUAAAAGGCAAUAUUGGUUUUUAAAAAGGUGUGUGUUUUAAGAAUACUUGCAGUUGUGAAAUCAUUUUUUUCUCCAUUGAUAGUUACCUCUACAAUCAUUCAGACAUUUUAUUAAGGCCAUUUUACAUUGUGUCAUCCUCCAGCAUCACUCUCUUACUUGAAAUAAAAUAGGCCUUGUAAUCACUGUGCUCUAUUGUCUCACUUUCUGGGCCUACUUACUGGGGCUUUGAGUAUUUCAGGCACUCUUGCCCCAUCCCCUCUGUCACCACCCGCAAGCCUCAUCAAGCCUCUAAUCUGGAGGUGGGUGGUGGUAAAUGAGCAAGAGGGAACUUGCUUAGUCUCGGGAUCCAUCUGUAGGAACAUAACGUUCUUCUAAUAUCUGCAGAUACCCAGUUUCUGCAGGAUAAAUUUCCUCAUGGUCUCCCCAUAGAAGGGCCUUUCCUGCUGUUCUCGAUGAGCAGAUUAAUGUAGGGCACAGGUCUUACCUUCUCCAUGUUUUCCAGUUCUGCCUCUUGCAUUGCACAGGAUAAAGCUUUCCAGGACUAGGCACAGAUAAUUUCGGAAGCUAAGAAAUAGCUGUGAUGGUGACACCAACAUUAUUCUGUGGAUUAAUUUGGUUAUUUAGACCUAUUUAAAAGAAUCCAUUAUAGGUAUUUUAUGUAAUAUUUUUCUUAAAUUUGUAGUCCUGUGUGUGGCUUUCAUUUGGGCUAUGCUAUUAUUAAUUAACUGUUACCACAUUA